rnacentral:rRNA from 1 species
AGAGUUUGAUCCUGGCUCAGGAUGAACGCUAGCGGCAGGCCUAAUACAUGCAAGUCGAACGGGACUUAGUAGCAAUACUAAGUUCAGUGGCGCACGGGUGCGUAACGCGUAUGCAACCUACCUUAAACUGGGGGAUAGCCUUCCGAAAGGGAGAUUAAUACCGCAUAAGAUCACGAGAGGGCAUCUGAUUGUGAUUAAAGAUUUAUUGGUUUAAGAUGGGCAUGCGUGCCAUUAGCUAGUUGGUAGUGUAACGGACUACCAAGGCGACGAUGGCUAGGGGUUCUGAGAGGAUGAUCCCCCACACUGGUACUGAGAUACGGACCAGACUCCUACGGGAGGCAGCAGUAGGGAAUAUUGGGCAAUGGACGGAAGUCUGACCCAGCCAUGCCGCGUGCAGGAAGAAGGCCUUCUGGGUUGUAAACUGCUUUUAUCUAGGAAGAAAACACCCAUGCGUGGGAAACUGACGGACUAGAUGAAUAAGC